GGUUGCGACUGUCUCUCCUCUCUCUCUCUCUCUCUCUCUCUCAUGGGUUUUGAUCCAAAAAGAAUCCAUCUUUCGGUGGAAGCCCUCCCUCGAUUGAGUUCUCCCAUCGCAAGAAAACCCUAAUCGCCGCUUCCGGGGAACGAGGUAGUUAUCUCCAUCCUUAUAAUCCCGUUAGCUUUGAUACGAUCCAUCGAGUCCGAUCGAUCGUGGCACAAUCUCACGUCAAGGAACCAUCUUUGGGUCUUGCUCGAUGGUUUCUUGUAGCCGAACGAAUCCUCGUGGGGUUUGGCUGAUGGUAGCUGAAAGUUCCUUGCUUGAUUCUGUCCUUGUUCCUGAAAUGAGAAGAUCCGCUUGGUUCCUUGGAGGUUCGAUUGAUCCGCUGUUUGUUUCUGUUUGAAUCUUGUUGGUAGAUGGAUUCUUGUGGAAGACGUUCGAGAUUUAGCGGGCGGUUUUCUGGAAUCUGAAUUGUCGGCAAGGACUAUCUGGUUGGCUGAUUAAUGAUGUGAAUUGGAAUAAUUCACGACAUGGAUCGAUCAGGGUCGAACUUUUGAUGCAAAAGACCGAAUUAGAUGCAAAAUCCUUGAGCGCUAAGGGGUAAUUAGAUGGAGUCUUUCAAUGUUAACACCCAUUUGCCUCCUCGGAAGCGCCUGCUAGCUGAACUCAAGAGGGAGGGUUCCGAUUUUGAUUUCCUGCCACCGGUUCCUUUUCUUUCUGGUGAUCUUGGUGCCCAGCUCCGUGAUUCUAUUAACUCUCCAAGGUCGAAUCCAGAAGAGAUCAUUGAGGUUGCGAAGUCGGUGGCUUCAGCUGCCGCUGAAGUUGCAGCGGCAGCUAAAAGGAUUGCAACCGAGAAAGCAGCUGCAGCUGCAAAGGCCAAGGCUUCUGCCAAGAGUGCACUACUGUUUCUGGAUUCAGUUUCUAGGAGGAGAAAAUCUGGAAAGGGUUGCAUGGCCAGAACCAGAGUGAGGAAGAAACAGAUGCCUGUUAAGCUCUUGUAUAAGACUCACCAUCGUCUGGGGAGCCAAGAAACAGAUGAAGAACUUGCCAGGAAAUUGCAUCAUGUCAUAAAUAGUUCAUCUAGAAUCUCAAAAAAUAAGCGAAGGAGCAUUCGAAAUGCUGUCUGCAAUGAGAAGUCAUCUGUUUUGCAUGAGAAGAGCAGUAGGAUAAGCAAAUGUUCCAUAGAUAAAUCAGAAGAGAAGAUUGUCGGCUGUUCCGAAGACAUUUUUGAGAGGGAGGAAGAAUCCAGUUACUGCACAGAGACACAAUAUAGUGGAUCUAAGGUUAUAAGAAAGCUGAUGGUUGGAAAGUGAGAAUUAAGAAAAAGAAGUUGCCUUUGAAUCAACAUCAUGUCCAAGAUCAAACAGAGCUUAAAAAAUUGCCACCUUUUGCAAAUCGUCAUAAUUUUACCAGAAAAUGCAGAAAGUAAUGUCUUCAAAUGAUUUAAAACCUUCUGAUGAUGGUGGGAUGUCAAUGUAGAUUACAUCAGCAUGGAAAUGCAAGAAGAUCUAGUUGUCACAAAGCUUAUCUGAUUGCAAGAUGUUGCAUUCUUUAUGUUAAGAUCCUUCAGUAACCCUGACCUCUGGCAGUCAGUUGAUAGCUUGACACAGAUGAUUUUGGAGCUCGCAAUGACAUUCUUGGCAUUUGGAGUCAACUGGAUGGUAGAAGGCCCAGCAAUGCAAGCAUCUUCACUGGUGGCUUUGUGCUGGGAGGAAUUGUGGUUGGGACACUUGCUUGUGUAUAUGCACCUCAGAUCAGCAAAGCAUUGACUGGAACUGACAAAAAAGAUCUAAUGAAGAGAUUGCCAAAAUUCAUCUAUGAUGAAGAGAAAGCGUUGGA